AAAAUUUCAAAUAAUGAGAAAGAUCACAAAAUAAUCCUCUUCUAACAGCUAGUACUAUUUUACAAUUGUGGGAGAACAAACAAGUAUCAUUAUGUUACAUGAGUUUGGCUAUUAGCCAUAGGUGGGCUAAGAAAAUGUUCAGUACAGGCUUCGAUGAUGACUUGAGCUCUCAGGGACAAUUGGCUCGCCAGUGAAGGGGUCAAAUUUGUAUGGCUCACCAGUGAAGGGAUCAAACCUGAUCCGUGGUCGAGUCUGUUGAUGAUCAGAAGUUGGGGUAAUGCGUGAAUGAAGUCCAACUCUGUCAGCAGCAGCUGAAGGACUCCAAGAUGCCUGAAAAGUGGGACCUGCUUCAUCCAUCCUUGAUACUCGACCAGAUGGAAGGGAUGUUGCCUGCAAAGGACUUGGUUCCUCCAUCCUCCUUUUAGUCACCCCGCCAGAGAGGAACGACUGCAAAGUGGGAUUUGCUUCCUCCAUCCUUUUCUUGUGAAUAGGACCUGCUUCCUCCAUCCUCAUUGUCACCUGACCAUACGUAAGUGAAGUCCCCUGCAGAUGGGAACUUGCUUCCUCCAUCCUCUCUGUUGUCACCCGACCAGAUUGAUAGGGAUCUAAAUACGCUGAAUAGCGAGAUGUGUAAACAUCAGCCCUAGCCAUGGGCAAGGGUACUUGGGAGGCAUAUGAAUCUAGAUGUGGCAAACGAACUCUUGUAGAGAAGCUGUCUGGUUCUGGUACCCUCAAGGCAACAUCUUCUACCCUUGACUUGCUAUCAAACUGUUUCAAUCCCAGCUUUUCAACCUGUUUAGAAAUUAAUGAAGCUAAAAAUCCUCCCUUGUUCUGCAUAUCAGCUUCAGACCACAUGAGCUGGUCAAGAACAGAUAUGGCAGCUGACUCGGGCAACAUCUUAAGACUGGUUAGGUUGACAACAUCUAUAUCAUAUCUAGUAGCAAUACCAAGCCGCAAGAUCCGAACUAAACGCUCCUUGACAAGCACAGGUAGUGCAAUUACAGCAGCUUCAUAAGGAUCCAAAUAAUCCAUUUCCGGUUGAGCUUUUGAUUUAGGACCCCCAACCAUCUCAACAUUUGGAUCAUCCUUCAAAAGCUUGGAAUGACUCUCAAUGUUACUGGACAUUUUUUGAUCCUCACGACCUCGUUUCCUGUUCUUAUCAGUUGGCCUCGCAACUUCGACCUGAAUCUUGCUUGAGGGACCUCCCCUUGGCCCUUGUACAGUUUUCUCAUUCAAUCCUUUAAUAGCAUUGUCAAGAUCAGAUCGCUUAUCGAAGUAAACAAAUCCAAUGGUGGAACUACCCUUCCUGGAGAGAGUAACCUUCUCUACAUUGCCAAAGGGCUGAAAGAGCUUCUUCAAGUAAUCUUCAUCAGCACCAGGAGG
rnacentral:misc_RNA from 1 species